rnacentral:rRNA from 1 species
AUUGAACGCUGGCGGCAUGCUUUACACAUGCAAGUCGAACGGCAGCACAGCAGAGGUAACUCUGUGGGUGGCGAGUGGCGAACGGGUGAGUAAUACAUCGGAACGUACCCUGUUGUGGGGGAUAACUACGCGAAAGCGUAGCUAAUACCGCAUACGCCCUGAGGGGGAAAGCGGGGGAUCGUAAGACCUCGCGUUAAUGGAGCGGCCGAUGCCGGAUUAGCUAGUUGGUGAGGUAAAGGCUCACCAAGGCGACGAUCCGUAGCUGGUCUGAGAGGACGACCAGCCACACUGGAACUGAGACACGGUCCAGACUCCUACGGGAGGCAGCAGUGGGGAAUUUUGGACAAUGGGCGCAAGCCUGAUCCAGCCAUUCCGCGUGAGUGAAGAAGGCCUCGGUGUAAGCUCUUCGCAGAAGAAACUAUCUCUAAUACGAGGUGAGGUUGACGGUACCUUGAUAAGAAGACACCGGCUAACUACGUGCCAGCAGCCGCGGUAAU